rnacentral:rRNA from 1 species
UGGAUCCAGACUUUGAUCCUGGCUCAGGAUGAACGCUAGCUACAGGCUUAACACAUGCAAGUCGAGGGGAAACGACAUCGAAAGCUUGCUUUUGAUGGGCGUCGACCGGCGCACGGGUGAGUAACGCGUAUCCAACCUGCCCACCACUUGGGGAUAACCUUGCGAAAGUAAGACUAAUACCCAAUGAUAUCUCUAGAAGACAUCUGAAAGGGAUUAAAGAUUUAUCGGUGAUGGAUGGGGAUGCGUCUGAUUAGCUUGUUGGCGGGGUAACGGCCCACCAAGGCGACGAUCAGUAGGGGUUCUGAGAGGAAGGUCCCCCACAUUGGAACUGAGACACGGUCCAAACUCCUACGGGAGGCAGCAGUGAGGAAUAUUGGUCAAUGGGCGAGAGCCUGAACCAGCCAAGUAGCGUGCAGGAUGACGGCCCUAUGGGUUGUAAACUGCUUUUAUAAGGGAAUAAAGUGAGAGUCGUGACUCUUUUUGCAUGUACCUUAUGAAUAAGGACCGGCUAAUUCCGUGCCAGCAGCCGCGGUAAUACGGAAGGUCCGGGCGUUAUCCGGAUUUAUUGGGUUUAAAGGGAGCGUAGGCCGGAGAUUAAGCGUGUUGUGAAAUGUAGAUGCUCAACAUCUGCACUGCAGCGCGAACUGGUUUCCUUGAGUACGCACAAAGUGGGCGGAAUUCGUGGUGUAGCGGUGAAAUGCUUAGAUAUCACGAAGAACUCCGAUUGCGAAGGCAGCUCACUGGAGCGCAACUGACGCUGAAGCUCGAAAGUGCGGGUAUCGAACAGGAUUAGAUACCCUGGUAGUCCGCACGGUAAACGAUGGAUGCCCGCUGUUGGUCUGAAUAGGUCAGCGGCCAAGCGAAAGCAUUAAGCAUCCCACCUGGGGAGUACGCCGGCAACGGUGCAACUCAAAUGAAUUGACGGA